AUGAACGCUGGCGGCGUGCCUAAUACAUGCAAGUCGAGCGAACAGAUGAGGAGCUUGCUCCUCUGACGUUAGCGGCGGACGGGUGAGUAACACGUGGAUAACCUACCUAUAAGACUGGGAUAACUUCGGGAAACCGGAGCUAAUACCGGAUAAUAUAUUGAACCGCAUGGUUCAAUAGUGAAAGACGGUUUUGCUGUCACUUAUAGAUGGAUCCGCGCCGCAUUAGCUAGUUGGUAAGGUAACGGCUUACCAAGGCAACGAUGCGUAGCCGACCUGAGAGGGUGAUCGGCCACACUGGAACUGAGACACGGUCCAGCCUCCUACGGGAGGCAGCAGUAGGGAAUCUUCCGCAAUGGGCGAAAGCCUGACGGAGCAACGCCGCGUGAGUGAUGAAGGUCUUCGGAUCGUAAAACUCUGUUAUUAGGGAAGAACAAAUGUGUAAGUAACUAUGCACGUCUUGACGGUACCUAAUCAGAAAGCCACGGCUAACUACGUG
rnacentral:rRNA from 1 species